rnacentral:rRNA from 1 species
CACGUAGGGGGCGAGCGUUGUCCGGAUUUAUUGGGCGUAAAGAGCUCGUAGGCGGUUCACUAAGUCGGGUGUGAAACCUCCAGGCUCAACCUGGAGACGCCACCUGAUACUGGUGUGACUAGAGUCCGGUAGGGGAGUGUGGAACUCCUGGUGUAGCGGUGAAAUGCGCAGAUAUCAGGAAGAACACCAGCGGCGAAGGCGGCACUCUGGGCCGGUACUGACGCUGAGGAGCGAAAGCGUGGGUAGCAAACAGG